rnacentral:tRNA from 1 species
UGAGGUGUGGUUCAGUGGUAGAACAUGUGCUUAGCAUGAGGCCUUAGGUUCAAUCCCCAGCACCAAAA